UUAGAUACAGGAAUACAUAUGCAGAUUUGUUACAUGGGAAUACUGCAUGAUGCUGAGGUUUGGAGUACAGAUCCUGUCAACCUGGUAUUGAGGAAACUCGUCGUAUAAAUUCAAUCAAUGACCUGGAUUGAAAACAGCUGUUCUGGGAUAUACUGGUCGUUAGGUAAUAACUCCUUCAACCAAUUGCCACUCAGAAAAUAUUUGAAUCCACCUAUAACCCACCCACAUCAAGUCUUCCCUCCUUUCCAGACUGAACCAAUGUUUACCUCACAUGUGUUGAUUGAUGUUUUAUGUCUCCCUAAAACAUAUAAAACCAAGCUGUAACUCAACCACUCAGGACACAUGUUCUCAGGAUCUCUUGAGACUGUGCCUUUGGCCUUGGUUACUCAUUUUCGGCUCAGAAUAAACCUCUUUAAAUAUUUUACAAAGUUUGUUUUUUUCAUUUUCAUCAACAUUAAUAGUAUUUUAGUUUAGGGAAUAUUGCUAUUAUUCAAGCAACUAGCAGUGGAAGUCAGAAUAUUGUCAUGAAAUUAUAACUUACUAAAUACUAUAAUGAAGACAAUCUUCUAAUUCAUCAACACGUCUUCAGAAAUUUCUUAUUCUCCUGUACUACAUUGGAUGCUACAGAUCAGAGACUCUCAGCCUUGACACUAUUGGCAUUAUACAGUGAAUGAGUCUUUGUUUGGGGGGCAUGUUCUGAGCUCUUGAAAAUGUGUAGCACCAUCUUGUACUUCUACCUACUAGAGACGAGCAGCAUCCCCUUCCCAGUUGUAACAUAGAAAAUAUCUCCAGACAUUGACAACAUCACAUCCUUUUGAGAAUUAUGGCUGCUGAAGUAAGCAAUAAUUGUGGAUAAGACAAAUUAGGUUUCUGACCAACAUUUAAUGGGAAACACAAUUAAAUGAAAAAUAAAUAAACUGGAACAAUACUCAUUGUUCUAAAUCAUUUAAAGUUACUAAAUGGGAUAAAGUCAUAUGUAAUGGAAGAGACCAUAUUCAGGGAAUAGUUCUUGAAAAGGUUGCUCUUGAGUUAAAAUUUAAGGGCUGAAAAGACGCUAUAUAUGUGAAGAGAUUAAUAAAGUGUCAGUGUCUUUCCGAUUUAAAAACAUGCCUAAAUCUGCCCACAAAGCCAUACAAGACUUUCCAAAGAAGGCUUUAUAUUUAAGAUAGAGACAUUAUGAAUUUGUAUGUUAGCAAGUUGAAGAAAGGCUACCCAGCCCCUGCCCUAAUGGAAUGGAAAUGGUAGUUGGAUUAUUACUAUUUUCUGGGGGCAGUUCUAAGUACCCCAAUUCUCACAGGGUAACAACACUUGGAGAGCCAGGUACACAGAUUGCUCUGGGUUACAUUACAAAGGAGGGACCCAAGCUUUAAAAAAUGCAAACUUUGAUAAUGGCAAUAAACAUGUCUGCCCGACUUUUACCCUACAGGGAGGACUAAUUUUUAUCAUGCUGGAGCAUAAAUAAGCCUGCCCUUUGCUCUAGAGGAUGACUAUAUCUAUCUCCCAAGGCUGUCGACUACACAAACAUUCUUGAAUAGAUGGUGAGCAAAAAAAACGUAGUGAAGAGACUCAUGGGAAAUUGUCUUAGAGCACAUAGGAAAGGUGUUAUGGAUUAAAUUGUGUCCUAAAAUUCCUGUGUUGGAGCCCUAACCCCGAAUAUAACUAUAUUUGGAGAUAGGGCCUUUAAAUAGCUACUAAGAUGACAUGAGGUCAGAAUAGUGGGGCCCUAAACCAUUAUGAUUGUUUUCUUCUAAGAAGUGGGAGAAACACCAAGGAAAUGUGCUCACAGAGAAAAGGCAUGUGAGAACACAAUGAUAUGAAGCUGUCUGAAAAACAAGGAGAGAAGCUGAAGAGAAAAUCAAACCUGCUACAACCUUCGUCUUGGAAUUCCAACCUCUAGACCUGUGGGAAAAUAAAUUUCUUUUGUUUGACCCA
rnacentral:lncRNA from 1 species